AGGGUGUAAACGCUGCAGACUUGGUGUUGGGAACCCUUCGGGGGUGCUCAGUGCCGGAGAGAAGUUGUUAAGUCUGCUACUUGGGGUGUACGUCCGCAAGGAUGAAACUUAAAGGAAUUGGCGGGGGAGCACCGCAACGGGAGGAGCGUGCGGUUUAAUUGGAUUCAACGCCGAAAAACUCACCAGCAGCGACUGUUACAUGAAAGUCAGGUUGAUGACCUUACUAGAUUUCAGAGAGGAGGUGCAUGGCGUCAGUGACU
rnacentral:rRNA from 1 species